UACGGAGGAUGCAAGCGUUAUCCGGAAUGAUUGGGCGUAAAGCGUCCGCAGGUGGCUAUGUAAGUCUGCUGUUAAAGAGUGAGGCUCAACCUCAUAAGAGCAGUGGAAACUACAUGGCUAGAGUGCGUUCGGGGCAGAGGGAAUUCCUGGUGUAGCGGUGAAAUGCGUAGAGAUCAGGAAGACCACCGGUGGCGAAAGCGCUCUGCUAGGCCGCAACUGACACUCAUGGACGAAAGCUAGGGGAGCGAAUGGG
rnacentral:rRNA from 1 species